rnacentral:misc_RNA from 1 species
UCCGGUUUGUCACCGGCAGUCUCCCAUGAGUCCCCAACUGAAUGCUGGCAACAUGGGACGGGGGUUGCGCUCGUUGCGGGACUUAACCCAACAUCUCACGACACGAGCUGACGACGGCCAUGCACCACCUGUGUAGGGCCCCGAAGGACACCGUAUCUCUACGGCUUUUCCCUACAUGUCAAGCCCAGGUAAGGUUCUUCGCGUUGCCUCGAAUUAAGCAACAUGCUCCGCUGCUUGUGCGGGCCCCCGUCAAUUCCUUUGAGUUUUAGCCUUGCGGCCGUACUCCCCAGGCGGGGCGCUUAAUGCGUUAGCUACGGCACAGGAGAUCGGAGAGACCCCCCACACCUAGCGCCCAACGUUUACAGCGUGGACUAC